rnacentral:rRNA from 1 species
GAUGAACGCUGGCGGCGUGCCUAAUACAUGCAAGUCGAGCGAACGGACGAGAAGCUUGCUUCUCUGAUGUUAGCGGCGGACGGGUGAGUAACACGUGGAUAACCUACCUAUAAGACUGGGAUAACUUCGGGAAACCGGAGCUAAUACCGGAUAAUAUUUUGAACCGCAUGGUUCAAAAGUGAAAGACGGUCUUGCUGUCACUUAUAGAUGGAUCCGCGCUGCAUUAGCUAGUUGGUAAGGUAACGGCUUACCAAGGCAACGAUGCAUAGCCGACCUGGGAGGGUGGUCGGCCACAGUGGAUCUGAGGCACGGUCCCGACUCCUACGGGAGGCAGCAGUAGGGAGUCUUCAGCAGUGGGCGAAAGCCUGACGGAGCCGCGCCGCGUGAGUGAUGAAGGUCUUCGGGUCGUAAAACUCUGUUAUUAGGGAACAACAUAUGUGUAAGUAACUGUGCACAUCACGGCAGUACCUAAUCAGACAGCGGCGACUAACUUC